AAUGAACGUUGGCGGCGUGGAUUAGGCAUGCAAGUCGAGCGUGUACCCGCAAGGGGAAAGCGGCAAACGGGGUAGGAACGCGUAGGUCACGUACCCCUCGGCCGGGGAUAGCCACGGGAAACUGUGGGUAAUACCCGAUGACGCCGAGAGGCCAAAGGUGUGAUUCCGCCGGGGGAGCGGCCUGCGUAGUAUUAGCUAGUUGGUGAGGUAACGGCUCACCAAGGCGAAGAUGCUUAGGGGGUGUGAGAGCAUGACCCCCACCACUGGGACUGAGAUACUGCCCAGACACCUACGGGUGGCUGCAGUCGAGAAUCUUCGGCAAUGGGGGCAACCCUGACCGAGCGACGCCGCGUGUGGGAUGAAGGCCCUUGGGUUGUAAACCACUGUCAGAGGGGAUGAAACGAUCAUGGGUUCUCCCAUGGGCCUGACAUAGCCUCAGAGGAAGCACGGGCUAAGUUCGUGCCAGCAGCCGCGGUAAUACGAACUGUGCAAACGUUAUUCGGAAUCACUGGGUAC
rnacentral:rRNA from 1 species